rnacentral:misc_RNA from 1 species
AAGUCGUAACAAGGUUUCCGUAGGUGAACCUGCGGAAGGAUCAUUAACACGUAUCCAAACGUUAAACCCCCCUGUGAACCUUCAGUCGUACUCGUACGUCCGUUAGAAAAAGCAGCAAUCCCUGGUAAAUCAUCGCCGAACAGUUUUCGAUUCAGGGACGUCUGCAAGGAGCGUGCAUGUUGUGCGUGUAAGUGGCCUGGCAUCCCCAAGCAGUUAGUGUCUGAAAGUGUCACUAACGUUAGUGUCUGAAAGUGUCACUAACAUGUGUAAGGAUGACGCUGCAAGCCCCCUUAUCACACCCCUGCUCUAUCUAUGGUGAUCCUGCGGGAAGUCCUGCGGUCGAACGCCGAAACCGAACAACUGUUAACAAUGGAUAUCUUGGUUCUC